GCGGAGAAGCCGGGAGAGAAGCACAAACGCGCGUCUCGCCCAGGACAGCGGUCGGUGGGCUCGGAUUGGACAUUCCCAGCGCCUCGCUGGUCCCACGGAAAUGGAGAAAUAGCUUCGGGAAGGCUACUGUAUAUCAGAACAAGGCUGAGAUGGGGCCUGAGAGGUGAUGACCGUCUCCCAGAGAGCCUGGCUUUGGAGCCUGAUUGCGGUAACUGAUGAGGCUGGGUGUGUCCCCUUUGAGGAAGAGACGAGACACAGUUUGGCUGCACGAGGCCUGACCUCCGGCUCCCGUCCUUGCCCUGACCUUCCGCCUGCAGCACAGCAGCCUGAGUGGUCCUUUUAAAGUGUGGAAGAAGUUAACUACAUGAUGACCAGACUGUAGCCAUGACAGAAGCUGCCACAAUUCUGAGAAUUGGCCUCAUGGAAAUGCGAACAAACUGACCCUGGAACUGAAGAUUAACUGUACUUAAAACAAUCAAGAUGAUGCUGGUCAGACCACUGAUGACCAACUUCAAGAUGACCAUCAGAGCCGACUGUGCUGUCUCUGCAUGUAGCCCCCUCCCUCCAUCUAUAAAAGCUCUUGCCCACUGGUUGUCAGUGGAGGGGAGUCGGCCUUUGGACAGGAGUCUGCCCUUCCCCUUCCCCGGACUCCGCAAUUGCCAGCCUCAGAAAUAAAGCAAACUUUCCU